GGCAGUGACGGUUAACGGGGAAUUAGGGUUCAAUUCCGGAGAGGGAGCCUGAGAAACGGCUACCACAUCUAAGGAAGGCAGCAGGCGCGCAAAUUACCCAAUUCUAACAGCAUAAGAGAGGUAGUGACAAGAAAUAACAGUACAAGGCAGUUAAAAUGCUUUGUAAUUGGAAUGAUAGAAAUUUAAAUACUUUUUAAAGUAUCAAUUGGAGGGCAAGUCUGGUGCCAGCAGCCGCGGUAAUUCCAGCUCCAAUAGCGUAUAUUAAAAUUGUUGCAGUUAAAAAGCUCGUAGUUGAAUUUUUGCUAAAAAUAACCGGUCUGCUAUUAUUACUAAAAGUGGUAUCUUGGUGUGUUUUUAGCAAUAAUGUCCUUUGAAAUGUUUUUUACUUUAAUGUAAAAAGCAAUUUUCAGGAUUUUU
rnacentral:rRNA from 1 species